rnacentral:rRNA from 1 species
UAGGGAAUCUUCCACAAUGGACGAAAGUCUGAUGGAGCAACGCCGCGUGAGUGAAGAGGGGUUCCGGCUCGUAAAACUCUGUUGUUAAAGAAGAACAUAUCUGAGAGUAACUGUUCAGGUAUUGACGGUAUUUAACCAGAAAGCCACGGCUAACUACGUUCCAG